CAUGAGCAACCUGCCCUGGAGAGGGGGACGAACAGCUGGAAACGGCUGCUAAUACCGCAUGAUGUCACCGGGAGGCAUCUUCUGGUGACCAAAGAUUUAUCGCUCUGGGAUGGGCUCAUGUCUGAUUAGAUAGUUGGCGGGGCAACGGCCCACCAAGUCUGCGAUCAGUAGCCGGACUGAGAGGUUGAACGGCCACAUUGGGACUGAGAUACGGCCCAGACUCCUACGGGAGGUAGCAGUGGGGAAUAUUGGGCAAUGGGCGCAAGCCUGAACCCCCAGCAACGCCGCGUGAAGGAAGAAGGCUUUCGGGUUGUAAACUUCUUUUAUCAGGGACGAAGAAAGUGACGGUACCUGAUGAAUAAGCCACGGCUAACUACGUGCCAGCAGCUGC
rnacentral:rRNA from 1 species